rnacentral:rRNA from 1 species
CAGCCGCCGCGGGAAUACAGAGGGUGCGAGCGUUAAUCGGAUUUACUGGGCGUAAAGCGUGCGUAGGCGGCUUCUUAAGUCGGAUGUGAAAUCCCUGAGCUUAACUUAGGAAUUGCAUUCGAUACUGGGAAGCUAGAGUAUGGGAGAGGAUGGUAGAAUUCCAGGUGUAGCGGUGAAAUGCGUAGAGAUCUGGAGGAAUACCGAUGGCGAAGGCAGCCAUCUGGCCUAAUACUGACGCUGAGGUACGAAAGCAUGGGGAGCGAACAGGAUUAGAUACCCCUGUAGUCCCUGUCUCUUAUAC